rnacentral:rRNA from 1 species
AUUGAACGCUGGCGGCAUGCCUUACACAUGCAAGUCGAACGGCAGCACGGGAGCAAUCCUGGUGGCGAGUGGCGAACGGGUGAGUAAUAUAUCGGAACGUGCCCAGUCGUGGGGGAUAACGUAGCGAAAGCUACGCUACUACAGCAUACGAUCUAUGGAUGAAAGCGGGGGAUCGCAAGACCUCGCGCGAUUGGAGCGGCCGAUAUCAGAUUAGGUAGUUGGUGAGGUAAGGGCGCACCAAGCCGACGAUCUGUAGCUGGUCUGAGAGGCAGACCAGCCACACUGGGACUGGGACAAGGCCCAGACGCCUACGGGAGGCAGGUGUGGGGAAUGUUGGACAAUGGGCGCAAGCCUGAUCCAGCAAUGCCGCGUGCAGGAUGAAGGCCUUCGGGUUGUAAACUGCUUUUGUACGGAACGAAACGGCGAGCUCUAAUACAGUUUGCUAAUGACGGUACCGUAAGAAUAAGCACCGGCUAACUACGUGCCAGCAGCCGCGGUAA